UUUACAUUUUAACACUAUCAUAACGUGUUUAAAAACGUCUCGCAACGUUUUUAACAUUACUGAAAACAAAAUGAACGAAGAUAACAACAAAGACGAUUAUUUUGUUGAACGAGAGAAUAUGAAAAAUUUAGUAAACGAAGAACCUUUCACACAGGGUGGACAUAGGAGAACAAAUCUAGAUGUAUUGUUUGAUGCUAUAGGCCAAAGUGGUGUUGGUGAUGCUAUGGACCAAAGUGAAGGGGAAGAAGGUGGUGUUGGUGAUGCUAUAGACCAAAGUGAAGGGCAAAUUAAUGAUGUUGAUGAUGCUAUGGAUCAGAGUGGAGGGCACCUAGAUGGUGCUGAUGAUGCUAUAGAUAAAGAUCUAUAUGAACUCCAAGCUAAACUUCACAAGGGUGAAGAAGGUGUGAAGACUACAACAACAACAACCUUGGAUGUUCCGAACGUUGUUCCAGCUGUGGAUUACGUUGUUGCUGAUGCUGUUGAAGAAAUUGAAGGAGGUGGAAAUGAUUCUUUUGCUGAAAAGGAAAAUUCCGAGGUGGAAAAAGAGGUAUCAGAUUAUGAAGAUGAAAAAGAAGAAGAAGAUGAAGAUGAUGAAUCAGAAAAUGGGGCUGAUGAUCCUGAACUUGAAACAGGUCUAUCUCUUGAUGAUGGCUUCUUUGAAGUUGAAGCUAUUCGUCGCAAGAGAUACCGCAAGGGGAAGUUGGAGUACUUUGUGAAAUGGAUGGGAUGGGAGGAGUCAGCAAAUACUUGGGAGCCUCGAGAUAAUUUGGUUGCUCUUCCUGAUAUUGUUCAAGCUUUUGAGGAAGGCUUGAAAUCGACACCGCAUCAGAAGCGCAAGCGCAAGCAAUCUAGUAAUAGCGCUAAGCUCAACAAAAGGGUGGAGCGUUCCGCCACUCCUUACAGCCUUAGAAGCAUAAAAACUAGCACCACCCAUUCAAAGGCGUCUAUCAGUAAUUCAAAGCCCGCCACUCCUUACAGCCUUAGAAGCAUAAAAACUAGCACCAAGAAUUCAAAGGCGGCUAACAGUAAUUCAAAGCCCGCCACCCCUCUCAACGAACAACCUAGUAUUCCCGACAUUCCUGCAUUUCCUCAGACCGUGCUGUUUGCUGACGAAGUGGAAAAUUACGGUGAUGGAAGCAGUCUUGAAAAAGUCAAUCAUGCUAAUGAUGAUAUGUCUGUGGAUCCCCCAGAAGAGGUUCCUCAAAACAAGUCUGAUCCUAAGCUUACUCCAAACACUGAAGAAAACGAGUCUGAUGAUCCUAAGCUUACUUCAAACAUUGAAGAAAACAAGUCUGAUGAUCCUAAGCUUACUUCAAACAUUGACGAAAACAAGUCUGGUGAUCCUAAGCUUACUCCAAACGUCGAAGAAAACAAGUCUGAUGAUCCUAAGCUUACUCCAAACAUCGAAGAAAACAAGUCUGGUCGCAGGCUUACUCGAAACAAUAAGAAAAACAAGACUGGUCCUAAGCUGACUCGAAACAAUAAGGAAAUCAAGUCCGGUCCUAAGCUUACUCGAAACAAUAAGGAAUACAAGUCUGAUAAGCUUACUCCAAGCAUUGAAGAAAACAAGUCUGCUUCUAAGCUUACUCGAAACAAUAAGGAAAACAAGUCGGAUCCUAAGCUUACUCCAAACCUUGAAGAAAACAAGUCUGAUCCUAAGCUUACUCCAAACCUUGAAGAAAACAAGUCUGAUCCUAAGCUUACUCCAAACCUUGAAGAAAAAGAGUCUGAUCCUAAGCUUACUCCAAACAUCGAAGAAAACAAGCCCGAUCCUAAGCUUACUCAAAACAAUAACGAAAACAAGUCGGAUCCUAAGCUUACUCCAAACAUUGAAGAAAAAGAGUCUGAUCCUAAGCUUACUCCAAACAUUGAAGAAAACAAGUCUGAUCCUAAGCUUACUCCAAAUAUUGAAGAAAACAAGUCUGAUCCUAAGCUAACUCCAAACAAGGAGGAAAACGAGUCUGAUCCUAAGCUUAGCGAACUUAAAGCCACAGCAACCAAUGGAAACAGCGCUGGCAACCUCGCAAUACAGUUUGAAGAAGCUGUGACUCCUCCAGUAAAACCUCACAUGAAUGAACAACCAAAUGCGGUUUUCACAGAAGCGAUUACCAAAAAAACUACAGGUAGCGCAGAACCUGUUCAAACUGGCUCUGCCCGGUCAGGAACCAGACGGAGAAAAACUACUGCUGUGAAGAGGUUCACCCGAGCUUCAUUAGCUAGUAAGACCGGUAAUGCAGGAGUUUCUGAUAUUGCGGCUCCUAGUAGUCAUACAGUGACAGAACCUGUGAAACCGGGGUCCGAUAUUGUCGAGAUUGUCAAGCCGGUAGGCUAUUCAGCUGCAGAAGCCAGCACCAAUCAGGAAGCUUCGGUGACCUUCAAGGUUAAAAGAGAAAAAUAGCGUUUUACACAUCUCAAAAGGUCGGAUGGAUCAGAAGUUAUCGUCGAUAAUAACUAUCUCAAAACAAACCAUCCAAUUCUUCUGAUCGACUACUACGAGCAGCAUCUGCAGUACAGUCCGAAACCAUCGUGAUCGAAGAGAUUAUAGAAGGAAGCUUCAUAUUUUGAUGUGUUGUUGAUUAUGUUGUAGAUGCUGGACAUAGUAAGGGGAAGUCAAGCUUUGUUUGUUAGUGAUAUUUUUAGGUUUGAUGACUAUUGAUGACUAUUUAAACUGUGGAAUAAUCUGUGGCUAUUUACUUUGAUGUUUGCUUAUGAGUUCCUCCACAUUUCAAGUUGAAGGUGGUUUUUAUUGUGUUGCUCAAGAACAAAACCUUGUUUUGGUUUAAUUUCAAAUUUUCUGGAACUUAUUGUUA